rnacentral:rRNA from 1 species
UGGGGAAUAUUGGACAAUGGGCGAAAGCCUGAUCCAGCCAUGCCGCGUGUGUGAAGAAGGUCUUCGGAUUGUAAAGCACUUUAAGUUGGGAGGAAGGGUUGUAGAUUAAUACUCUGCAAUUUUGACGUUACCGACAGAAUAAGCACCGGCUAACUCUGUGCCAGCAGCCGCGGUAAUACAGAGGGUACAAGCGUUAAUCGGAAUUACUGGGCGUAAAGCGCGCGUAGGUGGUUUGUUAAGUUGGAUGUGAAAGCCCCGGGCUCAACCUGGGAACUGCAUCCAAAACUGGCAAGCUAGAGUACGGUAGAGGGUGGUGGAAUUUCCUGUGUAGCGGUGAAAUGCGUAGAUAUAGGAAGGAACACCAGUGGCGAAGGCGACCACCUGGACUGAUACUGACACUGAGGUGCGAAAGCGUGGGGAGCAAACA